rnacentral:rRNA from 1 species
AGGACGAACGCUGGCGGCGUGCCUAACACAUGCAAGUCGAACGGGGUCCAACCGGUGGCAACACUGGUGAAGACCUAGUGGCGAACGGGUGAGUAUCACGUGAGCAACCUGCCCCGAAGACUGGGAUAACACCGGGAAACCGGUGCUAAUACCGGAUACCCCCACCGGAUCGCAUGGUCUGGUGAGGAAAUGAAUUUUGCUUUGGGAGGGACUCGCGGCCUAUCAGCUUGUUGGUGGUGUAACGGACCACCAAGGCUUCGACGGGUAGCUGGUCUGAGAGGACGAUCAGCCACACUGGGACUGAGACACGGCCCAGACUCCUACGGGAGGCAGCAGUGGGGAAUCUUGCGCAAUGGGCGAAAGCCUGACGCAGCAACGCCGCGUGAGGGACGAAGGCCUUCUGGGUUGUAAACCUCUUUCAGCAGGGACGAUGAUGACGGUACCUGCAGAAGAAGCCCGGCAACUACGUGCCAGCAGCCGCGU